rnacentral:rRNA from 1 species
ACGGAGGGUGCAAGCGUUAUCCGGAAUCACUGGGUUUAAAGGGUGCGUAGGCGGCGUUGUAAGUCAGAAGUGAAAGCUUUCAGCUUAACUGGAAAAUUGCUUUUGAUACUGCAGCACUUGAAUCAGGUUGAGGUUGGCGGAAUGUGACAUGUAGCGGUGAAAUGCAUAGAUAUGUCAUAGAACACCAAUUGCGAAGGCAGCUGACUGGGCCUGAAUUGACGCUGAGGCACGAAAGCGUGGGGAGCGAACAGG